rnacentral:rRNA from 1 species
UCCAGACUCCUACGGGAGGCAGCAGUGAGGAAUAUUGGUCAAUGGACGAGAGUCUGAACCAGCCAAGUAGCGUAAAGGAUGACUGCCCUAUGGGUUGUAAACUUCUUUUAUAUGGGAAUAAAACAGGGUAUGCAUACCCUCUUGUAUGUACCAUAUGAAUAAGGAUCGGCUAACUCCGUGCCAGCAGCCGCGGUAAUACGGAGGAUGCGAGCGUUAUCCGGAUUUAUUGGGUUUAAAGGGUGCGUAGGCGGACUGGAAAGUCAGCGGUAAAAUCGAGAGGCUCAACCUCUUUCCGCCGUUGAAACUGUCGGUCUUGAGUGGGCGAGAAGUAUGCGGAAUGCGUGGUGUAGCGGUGAAAUGCAUAGAUAUCACGCAGAACUCCGAUUGCGAAGGCAGCAUACCGGCGCCCGACUGACGCUGAGGCACGAAAGCGUGGGUAUCGAACAGGAUUAGAUACCCCUGUA